AACGAACGCUGGCGGCAGGCUUAACACAUGCAAGGCGAACGCCCCGCAAGUGGUGUGGCAGACGGGUGAGUAACGCGUGGGAACGUGCCCCUCGCUUCGGAAUAGCCCCGAGAAACUGGGAGUAAUACCGAAUACGCCGGAUUGGGAAAGAUUUAACGGCGAAGGAUCGGCCCGCGUUGGAUUAACCAGUUGGCGGAGUAAUGGACCACCAAGGCUACGAUCGAUAGCUGGUGUGCGAGGGAGACCAGACACACUGGGACUGAGACACGGCCCAGACUUCUACGGGAGGCAGCAUGGCGGAAUUUUGGACAAGGAGGGCAGGCCGGAUUCAGCCAUGCCGCGUUAGUGAAGAAGGACUUAGGGUUGUAAAACUCUUUCGCCGGAGAAGAUAAUGACGGUAUCCGGAGAAGAAGGCCCGGCUAACUUCGUACCAGCCGCCGCGGUAACAC
rnacentral:rRNA from 1 species